rnacentral:rRNA from 1 species
AACGAAUGCUGGCGGCAUGCCUAACACAUGCAAGUCGAACGAGACCUUCGGGUCUAGUGGCGCACGGGUGCGUAACGCGUGGGAACCUGCCCUUAGGUUCGGAAUCACUCCCCGAAAGGGGUGCUAAUACCGGAUAAUGUCUUCGGACCAAAGAUUUAUCGCCUUUGGAUGGGCCCGCGUUGGAUUAGCUAGUUGGUAGGGUAAAAGCCUACCAAGGCGACGAUCCAUAGCUGGUCUGAGAGGAUGAUCAGCCACACUGGGACUGAGACACGGCCCAGACUCAUACGGGAGGCAGCAGUGGGGAAUAUUGGACAAUGGGCGAAAGCCUGAUCCAGCAAUGCCGCGUGAGUGAUGAAGGCCUUAGGGUUGUAAAGCUCUUUUACCCGGGAUGAUAAUGACAGUACCGGGAGAAUAAGCUCCGGCUAACUCCGUG